CAACACACAAAACAAGCGGUGAGUGCUUUGGGGUGGGGUGACUGCGUACCUUUUGUAUAAUGGGUCAGCGACUUAUAUUCUGUAGCAAGGUUAACCGUAUAGGGGAGCCGAAGGGAAACCGAGUCUUAACUGGGCGUUAAGUUGCAGGGUAUAGACCCGAAACCCGGUGAUCUAGCCAUGGGCAGGUUGAAGGUUGGGUAACACUAACUGGAGGACCGAACCGACUAAUGUUGAAAAAUUAGCGGAUGACUUGUGGCUGGGGGUGAAAGGCCAAUCAAACCGGGAGAUAGCUGGUUCUCCCCGAAAGCUAUUUAGGUAGCGCCUCGUGAACUCAUCUUCGGGGGUAGAGCACUGUUUCGGCUAGGGGGUCAUCCCGACUUACCAACCCGAUGCAAACUGCGAAUACCGAAGAAUGUUAUCACGGGAGACACACGGCGGGUGCUAACGUCCGUCGUGAAGAGGGAAACAACCCAGACCGCCAGCUAAGGUCCCAAAGUCACAGUUAAGUGGGAAACGAUGUGGGAAGGCUCAGACAGCCAGGAUGUUGGCUUAGAAGCAGCCAUCAUUUAAAGAAAGCGUAAUAGCUCACUGGUCGAGUCGGCCUGCGCGGAAGAUGUAACGGGGCUAAACUGUGCACCGAAGCUGCGGCAGCGACGCUUAUGCGUUGUUGGGUAGGGGAGCGUUCUGUAAGCCUGCGAAGGUGUCCUGUGAGGGAUGCUGGAGGUAUCAGAAGUGCGAAUGCUGACAUAAGUAACGAUAA
rnacentral:rRNA from 2 species